AGUGAACGCUGGCGGUAGGCCUAACACAUGCAAGUCGAACGGCAGCACAGUAAGAGCUUGCUCUUACGGGUGGCGAGUGGCGGACGGGUGAGGAAUACAUCGGAAUCUACUUUUUCGUGGGGGUUAACGUAGGGAAACUUACGCUAAUACCGCAUACGACCUACGGGUGAAAGCAGGGGAUCUUCGCACCUUGCGCGAUUGAAUGCGCCGAUGUCGGAUUAGCUAGUUGGCGGGGUAAGGGCCCACCAAGGCGACGAUCCGUAGCUGGUGUGAGAGGAGGAUCACCCACACUGGAACUGAGACACGGUCCAGACUCCUACGGGAGGCAGCAGUGGGGAAUAUUGGACAAUGGGCGCAAGCCUGAUCCAGCCAGACCGCGUGGGUGAAGGAGGCCUUCGGGUUGUAAAGCCCUUUUGUUGGGAAAGAAAAGCAGCAGGUUAAUACCCCGCUGUUCUGACGGUACCCAAAGAAUAAGCACCGGCUAACUUCGUG
rnacentral:rRNA from 1 species